rnacentral:rRNA from 1 species
UACAGAGGGGGCAAGCGUUAUUCGGAAUUAUUGGGCGUAAAGGGCGCGUAGGCGGCUUGGCAAGUGGAUGGUGAAAUCCCUCGGCUUAACCGAGGAACUGCCGUCCAAACUACUUCGCUUGAGACCGGGAGAGGUGAGUGGAAUUCCCAGUGUAGCGGUGAAAUGCGUAGAUAUUGGGAGGAACACCAGUGGCGAAGGCGGCUCACUGGACCGGUACUGACGCUGAUGCGCGAAAGCGUGGGGAGCAAACGGG